GAAAUUGUUAACGUUAAAAAUUUAAAUUUCAGUGGGAAUUUAUUUCAAAUAAAAGUACAUAUUUAUAUUUUAAGACUUUUAUCCACUUACAAGUCAGACCCAAAUCGCAUUUUUGUGAAUUGUUUUUGAAAAGGCAUUUUAUUUGAUAAAUAAAUAAAAAUAAUGUUGCGAUUCACAUUGAAAAAUUUGGGAUAGAUGCAUACAGAAUAUUCUCCAGCGUUGAUGCAAGAUUUAUUGUGAGAUAUUUAAAUAUGCCCGGAAAAAAUUCGGUUCGUCAGAUAAGAGUUAGUACGGAAUCACAUGACAUAACGAAACCCAGGUUAAGAUUUCGUAUUAAAAAAAUUCUCUGACACACCAUCUCUGGAAGGCAAAUUUACUGAAAUUAUCAAUAAAAUAAUGGAAAUCGGCAAGUUUGACCUUCAUGUAAACGCCGUUUUGAUUGCUAAGGAGCUAAACCGUUUGGAACCAUUUAAAUAAGGUUGGAAACAAAAAGAAGCUCGCAACAAAAUCGAUGCAUUGCUGAGGUAGAUGGUUACUGGUGAUGAAAGGUGGAUCACAAGCGAAAAUGGUCUGGUGUAAUCGCGGCGAGGCGACGCAAACGGUGGCUAAGCCAGAAUUGACGUUCAAACUCUCAACUUGGAUCUGUACUGCGAAUAACUGGAAUGUCUGAAGAAAGUAAUCACAUAUAUCAAUAACAACUCGUUAGAAGCGCUAGGAGCUUGGUUGGAAGGUUCUAAGGCAUCCACUUUAUAGUUCGCAACUUACACCAAGUGAUUACUACUUGUUGCUGUCUAUAGCGAAUGACUUAGUUGAUGAAAAAUUCACCACAAGAAAAGCUUGUGAAAAUUGACUGUUCCAGAUUUUUGUCAAUUGCUAUGAGAGUGGCAUUAUGAAAUUAACUUCGAAAUGGCAACAGUUAUUGCACAAAAUGGUGCAUUUUAGACCUAAAUCGGAUCAUUCUAACUAUGCUAAAUAAAGCCUGCAAUUCAAUGGCUUGAAACAAAUAAUAUUAAAUUUCAUGCUCUAUUAAACCCCAGUUAUUAGUAAAAUAAAUAUAUAACAUGAGACCUGCAGUAGCGAAAAAAAAACCAUUAAGUAAAUGAAAAUGCUAAAGCAAACUACAGUAUCGUUGUAAUGAAAAGCAAAUAACUAAUAAAAAUUUAUGCAAA